AGUUCACAGAGGACUUUGAACAGAGGAGGAACUCUGUCUAAUACAGGCAACCCGAAAGAUCCCCCUUCUGGGCUGAGAACACAGUUCAGGGGUAGAACAUUCCCUAGCAGGCCUGCCACUACAAUAAACGGAAAUAAAAUGUCCUAAGUGAAAACUAAGCCACCCUUGCUACCGUGUAGGAGGCGGAACUCAGUGAGAAGGCACAAGGGGGGCACCGAAAGGAGAAGUCGGAGGACUGUUCUAAAGCCUCAGGGAAAGCCAGGCGUGGUGGCACACGUCGACUGUGUCAACAAUCAGGAGGCUGAGACAGGAGGAUGGCCAGGAGUUCAAGGCAAGUCCAAUGACGUACUGAGUUCCAGGUCCAGAAGGCAAUUUGAAGAGACAUCUACCAGCAUUAACUGGAGCAGCGUGUGUCCAAUUACCACAGGCUGGGUGACAGCGGGUAGAUUGUGUCACGGAGAGCACUCUGGGCAAAACCUGAAUUCUAAAACUGGAGACCACUGGAAAAUGAGGAUGGAGCCUAGCAUUCUGCAAGGCUGGUGAGCGAAGAGAAAUAGUACAGCGUUUACAAAAGGAUGUUUUUAAAAGCCCGCGAAAAGUUGAUUAACUUCGGUGGGUGAUCAUGCUUACAGACCUGCAGGCAAGGCAAACCGCCAAUGUGCCUCCCAUUGCGACAGCCAGGAAGGGAAGCCAUGCUGCAACGCGGGUGUCUUCCAGUCUGCCCUGGUACGGCUGUUUCAGCAGCACUGUCCUUCAGAGCUGGACUGGGUGGCCGGAGAGGCAGGUAUGAGGCAGGUAGAACCUACCUCCUGAGCCAACUUAACUGAGUUGCAGAGGGGGAGGCAGGAAGAGGGCAUGGGGUGGGGUGAGCGGGAGCAGGCGUGCUUUCUCUCGGCGUCACUUGUUUUCUCGGGGUGUUCGAUUGAUGAACCUAGAGCAAGUCAGCCAUUCCCAUGUAGUCUGCAAUUAAAAGAAACAAUAGCAUGUUA